UUGAGGGCGCUGAAGGGUUUUCGGUACUUCUUCUCCUCCUCCUCCUCUUCAUGUUGCCUCUUCUGCUUUGCCAGUUCAAGCAUCAAAACGCAUCCAUUUGCAAAGCUUCUCUCGGAAUCACUAUAAACACGCAAGCCUUGGCUUUCUAAACUCAUAAAGGUGAUGAACGCACCGAUAAUGGGUAAGCCUCUCUUUCCCGCUCUUGAUAGUUCACUUCGAAUUGAAGAAUUUGCUUUUUAUUUUCCUUGAAUGGGUUUUGGAAUAAAAUCAAAUUAAAGUAUGCAAUUCAUUAAUUAUAAAUUGUAUUUGGGGAAGACCCAUUGCCAGGAGAUUUCCCAGAAGUGUAGAGGAGUAUUUGGAACAUGGGGUUAUGAAAUGCAUUGCCAUCCCCAUAAGAUGUUUUUUCAAAACUUUUUUUUCCAUUAGAAAUUAAGUGCUUUGGGCAAUGUGGCUAUGUGGUAUUUCGAAAGUUGUGAUUUUCUGUUUAGAUUUCUUUUAGUUUUGUCCUGCUGUUUAUUAUGGGGUCCUUUUUGCUGAAUUAAUUGCUUAUCAAAAUUAAAAGGAAGGCUGUAAAUUUGGUUGCACAUUGGGGUAUAGAAACACCAUUGCCAGUUUAUACAGCACUCACUUGUUCUUCUUCCACAAUUUGUACUUUUGAAACUAAUAUAUAAGGAGUUGAAUCCACAAUUUGUAACAAAGUGGAAUUGCUAGCUAUUCCAGAAAAAUUAAAGAAUAGGUCAAUUAGUUGGAAUUUUUUUACGGUUUCGUUUUCAGUUAGGUCUCUGCGUUAAUACCCUACAUGAGCCUUACUUUUAACUAAUUGGUUCUUUAAUUUCUCCUUUACACUUUUAUUGAAGAACACAUAAACUACGGGCAUUUCUUAUUAAUCGUCUUGCUAGCCAAGGAUAUAAACGAAACCCCAUUUACAUAGAUUUCUCCUGGAGAUAG
rnacentral:lncRNA from 1 species